rnacentral:rRNA from 1 species
UACGUAGGGUGCAAGCGUUGUCCGGAAUUAUUGGGCGUAAAGAGCUCGUAGGCGGUGUGUCGCGUCGGCCGUGAAAACCUGCAGCUUAACUGUGGGCUUGCGGUCGAUACGGGCAUCACUGGAGUUCGGCAGGGGAGACUGGAAUUCCUGGUGUAGCGGUGAAAUGCGCAGAUAUCAGGAGGAGCACCGGUGGCGAAGGCGGGUCUCUGGGCCGAUACUGACGCUGAGGAGCGAAAGCGUGGGGAGCGAACAGG